CUGCAUUGAGAUUGAUCCCUUAUUAGCACCUCUCUACCAAGAACCAUGACUGGGCCCAGACAGGCCUUUUAGACUGCCUGAUACAUUUGGAUUUCCUUUGGCACAGGUUCUGGCCCACUGGACCAUGAAGAUCUCCAAUAUUAACAGGCAGAGCCAGGCCAUGUGGAUGUGCAAGUAGGCGUUAAGGAAGUGAAUGGUAUUUCAGGAACAAGCAGGAGGAGCAUCAGUCAAACAGCUGCGGUUGCUAGUGCUGCGGCACAGACUCUUAGCGAAGGCAGGGGCUAAAAUGCAGAGUUAAUUUAAAAGACAAACGCUAAACUGUCCGAUGAACCAUGAACACCAGCAGAAAUUCUGCAGGCCACAUACAACCCUGCAAUACACCUCUGAAGCCUUCAUUACCCUCAAGUGACCCCCGUGUAAAUCCAUUUAAAGGUACUCCAGCUGCACAGGGCUUGGCUGUAGACAAUGGAUCAUGUGAUGUGUCCUGGAUGGAACCUGGAGACAUGUAGGUCCUCUCUUGGUAUUGAGACCUCCUCAUCAAUUAUUGGGAGUGGACCACAUCCACCCUGACUGUAUUGGCCUUGUCAUCACUGGUUCUCCACUUGUAAGAGUCUGAUACAAAAAGUGGAUGUGAUUUUGGCAAGCUAUGCAGGGUGUUCUUGGAGUCCUUUUCCCUGCUAUUACUGGGAAUUGAAAUGAGUUAUGCAUAAUCCCUUCCCUACACACCAUCUAAAAAAAACGCAAACUAUUUUACAGAAACAGAUUUGUGGGGCUUAUACAAUGAAGGCUGCCUAAAGGAAGUGUUUCAAUAAUCGUAAUUCAGAAGAUUGUCAACAAAAAAAUACAUACAGAAGAAAUACAACUAGAGAAUUUAGUGUGAAGACAGACAAAAAUUGCAGUAACGUAUCAGAUGUCCCACAGUCGAGAAGUCUGUCAGAGACAGGAUACAACAUGCCUCAGUGGAAGGUGGAAGACAGAGUAGCCAAUUAUAGAAUAACUAGUCCAUAGAAGAAACUUCUUAAUCCUGCCAGCUAAUGAUUGGCUCAUCCCUUCAUCCAUGAGGGUUUAAUAUCCUGGCUAUUUUCCUCUAAUAGAACUGUGGAUGUUCUGAUUAUUCACAUAAAUGUCUAAUGCUGUUUUGAAUCUUAAGAUCUUGACAUCAAUGAUAUUUUAUUGUUUCAAAGGUUAGUUGUGCAUUGUGUUAAAAAGUAUUUCCUUGUAUCAGUUCUGAAUGUCACCUUUCAAUUUCAUUGGAUUAUCCUUAUCUUUCGAAUAGGAGCACCAUUUUAUCUUCAUUACACCAGAUAUUGUUCUGUAGACCUCCAUCAUGCCUGCUGUUAUUAAUUUCAUAUCUAAACUGAACAGUCCUAAUGUUCUCUUUCAUAGAAAAGUCUUGCCAUCAUUUGUCUCUGAACUCCUUUCUAUUUCUGAGCUAUCUUCCUUGAGACAGGAUGAACAGAACUAACUACAAACAUUAUGAGGUAGAAACCCCAGAGAAGAAGCCAAUGUGAGUUCCAGAAAGCAACUCUACCAACUCCUAUGCAGAAAUACUGUUAGCAGAAUCACCAGCUUCCUUCUUGACUUGUAUCAUUGCUAAAUCACCCACAGCAGAGCCCUACUAAAACUAAAUUGAAUGUCUGAAAAUAUCUGGGAGCUUUAGCAGCUGAUUAAAUUGUGUGGAGUCAUAGUGCUCAAUUCUUUCCCACAAGUAUAAAACAAUUUUAAAACACCACAACUUACAUGUAUUUCAGCUCUUUGGUUGGUCUGCCGUCCAGAAAGCCUAUCACUAGUAUUUCUGUUUAAAAGCAACACAAAAUACAUUAGUGGUUCACACUACUGCAUGAGUGUAUAGCCACAGAUUAGGUAGAAUUGGGGCAUAACUAAAAUUUCCCCUUCAGGAAUUUCCCUGAAGGGGAAAUUUUAGUUUUUAAGUGGCAACUAAUCUGAAAUUUAGGCAUGCUUGGCCCUGUCCCUACUGCAGGUUGAACCUCCAGGUUGAGAACAGUCAUUUUAAUAUAAUUAUAUAUAAAACUUGUGGAAGCACUUAAUGGGAGCCUAAAUUAAACCUUCCCAAAGAUAUUUCCUGGCAUUUGUCCAGGCUGAGUCUGGUUAUAUUUUGCCUACAUUUCUAACCUCUACAGGCACCUUUAUUUCUGCCCUCAGUGAUGGCUGAUAUUCAAUAUUCCAAUUUAAUAACUGAGUUUACUCUUUCUAGCUCAUUAUUUAUAUAAUUUGGUGAUAUUAUUAAAGAAAGUCUCAGUCAAGUAAGUAUCAGAGGGGUAGCUGUGUUAGUCUGGAUCUGUAAAAGGCGACAAGGAGUCCCGUGGCACCUUAUAGACUAACAGACGUAUUGGAGCAUAAGCUUUCGUCAGAUGCAUGAAGUAACUGGGUUUCACAUUCUGAAGUCGCUGAAUUUAAAGGCCAUACAAUUUAAGUGAUGAAUUACACAAGACCAAUAUUAGUAAGUUUUUGUACAGCAAAUGAUUUAACUAUGAUCUCAAAAUUACUUACAAAGGGUGGUCUGGUCCCCAAUAGACUCCUACUCCAGCACGUGCCUUACGACGCCCAUUACUUGAGCAGCAGCCAUCUGUAUAAACAACUACAGAGUCACCUGCAAGAGAUGGAUACAUGCAAUCUAUUUAAAAUGUCACAAAACAAUUUUUAAUUGUUCAAAGGCAUAAGCCUCUUUCAAAUACAGAAAAUUGUUUCUUAACAGAUUUAUAUUUCCUCCAAUAAUGUUCUAGCAACCUCUUCACAUAGAAGUUGUAUAUAUCAUCUUGCAUUGCUGCAGAAUCCAUGAAAUAAUUUUAGCCCCAACUUUUUUCACAAGAACUUCAAUUUUUGCCAAGCCUCAAAAUUGUGUGGAAGAGCUUCAUGCCCCCAACUCCAGGUCCCAUCUUAUUUUUCUAAGAUGGCCAUCAGCCUCAAUGAAAAGUUAAAAUACAUGUUUAAAUGUGUUCGCUCAAGUGUAUUUACUCAGGGCUCUGACACGAUUCCAUAUCAGUUAAAACAUGAUUUCAUCCUGUCUACAGUGGCCAGAUCAAGCCAUGUAAUGACUAGUGUUAUAUAUUCAAAAUAUGCUUUAUGAUAAGAUUACUUAAAUUUAUUAUUGCUCUGAAGGCACUCUAAACAUUACUAUUAGAAAGCCAGAACUGUAAUUCUUGCAUUCAGAUAUCCAGUUCUCCCACACACAAAAAUAAAAGUUUCUUUAAUGCCCUACCUCGAUCACCCAUUAGGGAGGACUAAAUGUCAGCAAGAGGAGAUAACCUUCCAGGCAUAUCAUAAGGGUUAGAUCUACACUGUUAAACCAAGCAGCAAUAGUUGAGGGCUUCUCACAGAAAGAGACAUGCCAAAGCUUCUUCACUCUAGAGAAUUUCAACUUGAACCAGGUUUUGGCUGUUAGUGAGAGCAGCAACUUUACAGACUUGUUAAAUACUCUGUUUAAAAUACUUCAUAUUCAUUAAAUAUACUUCAAUAAAUUGUAGUCCCAUCAAAGAGGCUUACCCAUAUAUGAGAAUUUAUCUUUGCUCACUGAAGGUGCCGAGUAUGUCUCAUUGUAUUUUACAUGUUUUCUGUUAGAUUCUUCCUCCGAAGACUGCUCAUAUGGUCUCUUGCAUGUGCUGUAACUUGGGCUUGCUAUCUCCAGUUCAUUCCAGUAGCUGUCACUCUUUUGUGUUAAACUAGAUAUGCCAUUAAAACCUUACAGAAAAAAAAACAGUAUUACAUACAAAUAUAAAAGUUAAGUUAUAAUUUGCAUGCCUAAUUGUAGCAGUAUUAGAAGUUAUUUGUUAAACUACUAGGGAAGACACUCUGGCAGAAGUACCAAGUUAAAUUUCAUAGCAUUCCUUUAAUCCCCAACAAUUUUUUAAAAAAAGGAGAACAGAAAUAAAUGUACAAGUCAUCAUUAAUGCUAUGUUAAAUUUCAGCAAUCAGGACAUGCAGCUGUUAAGGUUCAUAAAUUAACUUAGCCACAUAGCUAUACACAAUAUAGAAAAUACUACAUGUGUGCAGAGCAUAACUUCAUGUUUUAAUAUUACAAUUUGGCUUUUCUGUUUCCUAGAUUUUUUUUUUAAUCUGUGGCAAUAUUUUUAGCAGGAGUAAAUAUAUUAAAAUAGAUUUUUCAUUUCCAAUUACCAAUUUUAGCAGUAGCAUAAUUAAAUUCAAUUUUAGAAGAGGAGUUCAAUAUUCGACUGAGCCUUAAAGUUGCAUAGUAAAUAACGAUGCCUCACAUAACUAAUCCAAAGCCAUCUUUGAUUUUUCCUUAUCCUGUAUGUUUUACUAGAUACUGAGGAUACAUGAGCUCUGCGCAGAUUUUCAGAAGCACUCAGCAUUGCCUUAACUGUACCACCAUUAAAAGCCAGUGCUGGGCCCUUUUGAAAAUGCCACCCAGUGACAGAGUGCUGCGCAACAGCAGUUGAACUACCACCCUGGUCACUGUAUCUCCAAUCAGUUGCCUGGAAUAUAAAACUGACUACUACAGUUGUGACUAAUGGAUAGAUUGGGGAUGGGCUGCAAUGAGCUAUAAGGCUAAUUAACUCAUUAGCUCAGAAGGUAGAUAAGGCACUGGCAAGAACUGCUAGUGAGAGAAAACCAGUCUCUCAGAAUUAGUCCCAAGAGAGAUUUCCCACCUUUCCUGUCCUUGACCUAGGGAAUUAAAAAUGAUAUGCUGUUGUAAAUAAGAUGCUGCUGGUGAGGGGGAACACUGUAAAUAAACCACACAUUGUGUUUACAA